rnacentral:rRNA from 1 species
CUGGUCUCAACGGGGGCAUGUGCACGCUCUGUUAACACAUCCACUCACACCCUGUGCACCCUCUGUAGUUCUGUGGUUGGGGGCCUUGUCCUCCUGCUGUGGUUCUGCAUCUUUUACACACACACUGUAACAAAGUCUCAUGGAAUGCAUCUGCGUUUAACGCAAUACAAUACAACUUUCAGCAACGGAUCUCUUGGCUCUCGCAUCGAUGAAGAACGCAGCGAAAUGCGAUAAGUAAUGUGAAUUGCAUAAUUCAGUGAAUCAUCGAAUCUUUGAACGCACCUUGCGCCCUUUGGCCAUUCCGAAGGGCAUGCCUGUUUGAGUAUCAUGAACACCUCAACUCUUCAUGGUUUUCCGUGAUGAGCUUGGACUUUGGGGGUUUUGCUGGCCUGUGGUCGGCUCCUCUAAAAUGAAUCANCUUGCCAGUGUUUGGUGGGCAUCACAGGUGUGAUAACUAUCUACGCUUGUGGUUUUCCACCAGGGUAACCUUCGGCAGUGGAGGUUCGCUGGAACUCAUAGAUGUCUCUCCUCAGUGAGGACGGCCCUUUGAAUGUUUGAUCUCAAAUCAGGUAGGACUACCCGCUGAACUUAAGCAUAUCAUAA